rnacentral:rRNA from 1 species
CAGUAGCCGCGGGAAAACGAGGGGUGCAAGCGUUAUUCGGAUUGAUUGGGUGUAAAGGGUGUGCAGACGGCUUAUUAAGUCACUUGUUAAAUUCUUCGGCCUAACUGAAGGUCUGCAAGUGAUACUGAUGAGCUAGAGGGUGGAAGAGAGAAGUGGAAUUCUCGGAGUAGCGGUAAAAUGCGUAGAUCUCGAGAGGAACACCAAUGGCGAAGGCAGCUUCUUGGUCCAUUCCUGACGUUCAUACACGAAAGCGUGGGGAGCAAACAGGAUUAGAGACCCCCGUAGUCCCUGUCUCUUAUAC